GCCUGGCAGGCUCAGUCGCUAGAGCAUGUGACUCUUGAUCUCAGGGGCAUGAGUUCAAGCCCCAGGUUGGGCG
rnacentral:tRNA from 1 species